rnacentral:rRNA from 1 species
GAUGAACGCUCGCUACAGGCUUAACACAUGCAAGUCGAGGGGCAGCAUGAUUGAAGCUUGCUUCAAUCGAUGGCGACCGGCGCACGGGUGAGUAACACGUAUCCAACCUGCCGAUAACUCGGGGAUAGCCUUUCGAAAGAAAGAUUAAUACCCGAUAGUAUAGUAUUUCCGCAUGGUUUCACUAUUAAAGAACUUCGGUUAUCGAUGGGGAUGCGUUCCAUUAGAUAGUUGGCGGGGUAACGGCCCACCAAGUCAACGAUGGAUAGGGGUUCUGAGAGGAAGGUCCCCCACAUUGGAACUGAGACACGGUCCAAACUCCUACGGGAGGCAGCAGUGAUGAAUAUUGGUCAAUGGACGAGAGUCUGAACCAGCCAAGUAGCGUGAAGGAUGACUGCCCUAUGGGUUGUAAACUUCUUUUAUACGGGAAUAAAGUGGAGUAUGCAUACUCCUUUGUAUGUACCGUAUGAAUAAGGAUCGGCUAACUCCGUG